rnacentral:rRNA from 1 species
UGCAAGUCGAGGGGAAACGGCAUUGAGUGCUUGCACUGAAUGGACGUCGACCGGCGCACGGGUGAGUAACGCGUAUCCAACCUUCCCGUUACUGCGGGAUAACCUGCCGAAAGGCAGACUAAUACCGCAUGUUCUUCGAUGACGGCAUCAGAUUCGAAGCAAAGAUCCGUCGGUAACGGAGGGGGAUGCGUCUGAUUAGCUAGUUGGCGGGGCGACGGCCCACCAAGGCGACGAUCAGUAGGGGUUCUGAGAGGAAGGUCCCCCACAUUGGAACUGAGACACGGUCCAAACUCCUACGGGAGGCAGCAGUGAGGAAUAUUGGUCAAUGGGCGGAAGCCUGAACCAGCCAAGUAGCGUGCAGGAUGACGGCCCUACGGGUUGUAAACUGCUUUUAUGCGGGGAUAAAGUGAGGGACGCGUCCCUUUUUGCAGGUACCGCAUGAAUAAGGACCGGCUAAUUCCGUGCCAGCAGCCGCGGUAAUACGGAAGGUCCGGGCGUUAUCCGGAUUUAUUGGGUUUAAAGGGA